GCACAACGCGAAGAACCUUACCAGGCCUUGACAUCCAAUGAACUUUCUAGAGAUAGAUUGGUGCCUUCGGGAACAUUGAGACAGGUGCUGCAUGGCUGUCGUCAGCUCGUGUCGUGAGAUGUUGGGUUAAGUCCCGUUAACGAGCGCAACCCUGUCCUUAGUUACCAGCACGUAAUGGUGGGCACUCUAAGGAGACUGCCGGUGACAAACCGGAGGAAGGUGGGGAUGGACGUCAAGUCAUCAUGGCCCUUACGGCCUGGGCUACACACGUGCUACAAUGGUCGGUACAAAGGGUUGCCAAGCCCGCGAGGUGGAGCUAUCCCAUAAAACCGAUCGUAGUCCGGAUCGCAGUCUGCAACUCGACUGCGUGAAGUCGGAAUCGCUAGUAAUCGUGAAUCAGAAUGUCACGGUGAAUACGUUCCCGGGUCUUGUACACACCG
rnacentral:rRNA from 1 species